GUCCACGCCGUAAACGAUGGAUACUAGCUGUUGGAAGCAAUUUCAGUGGCUAAGCGAAAGUGAUAAGUAUCCCACCUGGGGAGUACGUUCGCAAGAAUGAAACUCAAAGGAAUUGACGGGGCCCGCACAAGCGGUGGAGCAUGUGGUUUAAUUCGAUGAUACGCGAGGAACCUUACCAAGGCUUAAAUGUAGAUUGACAGGUUUGGAAACAGACUUUUCUUCGGACAAUUUACAAGGUGCUGCAUGGUUGUCGU
rnacentral:rRNA from 1 species